AAGUGAUUAAGCAAACACCAAUUACAACAACUUUUAAAGUUAUGAAAUCACAUAUUGCUCUCAUCUUGCUCUUUUCACUUUCCCUGUACACUGAUGCAAGAAAAGACCCUGGAGAAUACUGGAGAGAUGUGAUGAAAGAUGAGCCAAUGCCUAAAGCAAUCCAACAUCUUAUGCCUCAGCCACAUAAAGAGAAAAUCGAUAGUCACAAAUCAUCUUUUGAGCCAAGGACAAAUAUAUCUAGUUAUCAUGAUGAUGACAAUGUUGGUCUCAAACAA